GUUAGUUCAGUUGGUUAGAAUACAUGCCUGUCACGCAUGGGGUCACGGGUUCGAGUCCCGUAC
rfam:Bacteroides nordii CL02T12C05 genomic scaffold supercont1.2, whole genome shotgun sequence.